UUUUUUCUUCUUUUUCUUGCAGGGGUGGAUGGCGACGGUGGCAGAGCAGUUGGUGGUGGCAGGCUAGGGUGCGGUGGUGACUAGGUAGGGUGCAGCACGAGCUAGGGUUUUUUUCUAUAAAAUUUUAGGCUUUUGGGCCAUUUGGGCCAUUAGGGUUUUUUUUUGUUUUGGGCUAUUUGGGCCUAAUGUAGAUGGACUGUUUUUAAUUGGACUUUAAUUAUUUUUGUUUGAUUUAUUUUUCUGUUUGGUUUUUGUUUGGGCUCG
rnacentral:lncRNA from 1 species